rnacentral:SRP_RNA from 3 species
GCCGGACCCCAUGCGGCGUCCAUCUCGUGAACUCCCCCAGGGCAGGAAUGCAGCAAGGGUCAGCGGGCUCUGGCGGGUGCGUGGGGUCCCCUCAU